rnacentral:lncRNA from 1 species
GAGUUUCCCUUAUACGUCCUAGGCGUCGCAAUCAAUACCAUACAAGGGUUACAACCAGGAACAGUAUUCAACAAUCAGAUUGCAUAAGGAAGUAUCAAAAAUAUAAAACUACUUGCUAUUACAAGCAUUCACAUUCAAACAUUUUUACAUUACAUUCAACUCCCAAAUGCAAUUAAGUUAUUACAAUUUACUACCAGUUUAUUACAACUUUUACUUUUCCUUCCCUCUACCCCAA